GAUGAACGCUGGCGGCGUGCCUAAUACAUGCAAGUCGAGCGAACAGACGAGGAGCUUGCUCCUCUGACGUUAGCGGCGGACGGGUGAGUAACACGUGGAUAACCUACCUAUAAGACUGGGAUAACUUCGGGAAACCGGAGCUAAUACCGGAUAACAUGUUGAACCGCAUGGUUCAACAGUGAAAGACGGUCUUGCUGUCACUUAUAGCUGGAUCCGCGCCGCAUUAGCUAGUUGGUAAGGUAACGGCUUACCAAGGCAACGAUGCGUAGCCGACCUGAGAGGGUGAUCGGCCACACUGGAACUGAGACACGGUCCAGACUCCUACGGGAGGCAGCAGUAGGGAAUCUUCCGCAAUGGGCGAAAGCCUGACGGAGCAACGCCGCGUGAGUGAUGAAGGUCUUCGGAUCGUAAAACUCUGUUAUUAGGGAAGAACAAAUGUGUAAGUAACUAUGCACGUCUUGACGGUACCUAAUCAGAAAGCCACGGCUAACUACGUG
rnacentral:rRNA from 1 species